rnacentral:rRNA from 1 species
UACGUAGGGGGCAAGCGUUGUCCGGAAUCAUUGGGCGUAAAGAGCGUGUAGGCGGCUCGAUAAGUCUGCUGUGAAAGUCCAGGGCUCAACCCUGGAAGGCCGGUGGAAACUGUCGGGCUAGAGUCCGGAAGAGGCGAGUGGAAUUCCCGGUGUAGCGGUGAAAUGCGCAGAUAUCGGGAGGAACACCAAUGGCGAAGGCAGCUUGCUGGGCCGACACUGACGCUGAGGCGCGAAAGCAUGGGGAGCGAACAGG